rnacentral:rRNA from 1 species
GGGACGAUAAUGACGGUACCAGGAGGAAUAAGCCUCGGCUAACUCCGUGCCAGCAGCCGCGGUAAUACGGAGGAGGCAAGCGUUAUCCGGAAUGAUUGGGCGUAAAGCGUCCGUAGGUGGCUGUUCAAGUCUGCUGUCAAAGACAGUGGCUUAACUACUGAAAGGCAGUGGAAACUGAACAGCUAGAGUACGGUAGGGGCAGAGGGAAUUCCCGGUGUAGCGGUGAAAUGCGUAGAUAUCGGGAAGAACACCGGUGGCGAAAGCGCUCUGCUGGGCCGUAACUGACACUGAGGGACGAAAGCUAGGGGAGCGAAUGGGAUUAGAUACCCCAGUAGUCCCAGCCGUAAACGAUGGAAACUAGGUGUAGCCUGUAUCGACCCGGGCUGUGCCGAAGCUAACGCGUUAAGUUUCCCGCCUGGGGAGUACGCACGCAAGUGUGAAACUCAAAGGAAUUGACGGGGGCCCGCACAAGCGGUGGAGUAUGUGGUUUAAUUCGAUGC